GGCGACGAUCAGUAGGGGUUCUGAGAGGAAGGUCCCCCACAUUGGAACUGAGACACGGUCCAAACUCCUACGGGAGGCAGCAGUGAGGAAUAUUGGUCAAUGGGCGAGAGCCUGAACCAGCCAAGUAGCGUGCAGGAUGACGGCCCUAUGGGUUGUAAACUGCUUUUAUAAGGGAAUAAAGUGAGUCUCGUGAGACUUUUUGCAUGUACCUUAUGAAUAAGGACCGGCUAAUUCCGUGCCAGCAGCCGCGGUAAUACGGAAGGUCCGGGCGUUAUCCGGAUUUAUUGGGUUUAAAGGGAGCGUAGGCCGGAGAUUAAGCGUGUUGUGAAAUGUAGACGCUCAACGUCUGCACUGCAGCGCGAACUGGUUUCCUUGAGUACGCACAAAGUGGGCGGAAUUCGUGGUGUAGCGGUGAAAUGCUUAGAUAUCACGAAGAACUCCGAUUGCGAAGGCAGCUCACUGGAGCGCAACUGACGCUGAAGCUCGAAAGUGCGGGUAUCGAACAGGAUUAGAUACCCUGGUAGUCCGCACGGUAAACGAUGGAUGCCCGCUGUUGGUCUGAAUAGGUCAGCGGCCAAGCGAAAGCAUUAAGCAUCCCACCUGGGGAGUAC
rnacentral:rRNA from 1 species